CUCGAGCCAGAAAUAGUCACACGCACGACUCUCUGCCCUCAUUCGCCCGCCGCCGCCCUUCGUCCCUUCACCGCCACCGCUCCAUCCAUUCGCCGCCGCCGCUCCAUCCCUUCGCCGCCGCCCUCCCACAUCAAAGCCGGCGCCGCUCCAUCCCUUCGCCGCCGCCUCUCGAUCUUCUGCCUAGGGUUCCCCGCCGACGCUACCCCUCCCUCGAGCGUGGGCGGCCACCGGCGAAGGAUGCCCGCUCCCCCUCCUCUCCGGCCAGACCGGUCUCCCCCCUAACCACAAAGUGGGCGCACGCGGUGCGGGCUCCGGCGAACGCGGCCGCACGCGAUCCAGAGGCCCGGCGGCGCCCACAUCCCUCGCCUCUCUGGUCACACGUCGCCUCCCUAACCACGAAGUGGGCGCACGCGGGGUGGGAUCCGGCGAACGCGGCCACGCGCGAUCCAGCGGCCUGGCGGCGCCCGCAUCCCUCUCCUCUCCGAUUGCAUGUCUCCUCCCUUCCUACAAAGUGGGUGCACGCAGGGCGGCCACUCCGCCAACCGACUCCAGGAGCUCUGCUUUCGCAACGGCAACAUCUACAUCAAGCUCGGCCAGCACAUCGCACAACUGGUACGGAAAGGAAUUCCUAACUCUGUGAGGAUACGCCUGAAUUCACUUUGGAUUCAUCUGUGGUAAGAUUGCAUAAUUUUGUGGCUGUGGAACAGCUGCUUGUUUGCUUGUACUACCACAGGUGUAUGUGCAGACGAUGAGGGCGCCGAUGCUCAAGAGGUCGUCCGCGGAGUCAUCAAGAAAGAGAAUGGAGAAUUGCCACAAACUCUUAGUUCCUUCAUUGCAUCACGGCAUUGUCUUACACCCUUCUGAACUAACUUCGUUGUUGUAUUGAUUAGCAAAACCAAACAAUCAGACUGAGUGUGCUUAGUUCAGUUGUUGGCCAACAGAGUAUUCACCUUGAAUCAGAACCUGGAUUUAUGCUCAGCUUGUUUUUAGCUUAGAAGAAACUCUGACAUAAAAUUUGGCUUUCCCCUAUUCCCGUUGGUGUAGGUUUUUGCAUAAUUCUUCAUUGUCCUGCUUGCAAGUGCUUUUCUUGUGCAAGUCCAUGCGUCCACAACACAUGAUGGAAAAAAAAGUUGAUGUCAAGAUUGUUGUUAUUAUAUAAGAAAAGACUGCAGUUCAUUCGUUCACUUAUGUUAAGUUUGAACUCUUCAAUUAUGACAGCAGAGUUCACCAGCAUGUUGUCUGUCUUUCACUUUUUUGACCCCUGUUUUGGCUUACAGGUUCAACACGACCACUUGGUGGAUACUUCUGUAAUAGAUAUCACCACUGUGGAUUUAGUAGUGAAUUCUCUUCAUUAUAUUUUCCCUAAUUUUGACUACAGGUAAAACCAGUCAAUGGGUGCAACUGUUCUUUGUCUAUUACCUUGUUCUCUCUCUCCCUCUUUUUAACAUACCACCUCGAAAGCUUUUAGACUUAUGCUAAUUUUUAGAAUUAGUUAUGAUAGAGAGAAGGACUCUGAUCUGCAUGCUUUGACUGAUGGCAUCUUACCGAAAAAUGGCAGGUGGUAGUGUGAUAUUGUCGUGAAUUUUGCUCUCUUAUUUUAAUUAGCUUUAAUAUGAAAUAUCGCCAUGCUUCUAUGUAGGCAAGUAUGUUAAUUGGGUUGAUGUGGAGCUAGAGAAACUUGAGAGGACAUAGGAGGUGUUAUUGGGAAGUGUGCUAAAUUGUGUUUUUUAGGAAGACAAUCAUCUUAUACUAAAACGGAAAGACUAAGCUCAAUUCCAUGUUUGAAGUCUUGUAUACAUAAUGCUCUAAUUCAUACUGGACUGCUAUUCCUGACAUGGCAAUGGUUUCAGGGUAUUAUUUGAGCUGAUAUGGAGGGACUACUUCAGAUUUCAUCCAGCAAAAUAUGGGAACUCUAUUUUCUUACUAGGUAAAUAAAAUAUAAAUUUUUAUCAUUCUGAACUUUUGCCUUUCAUGUAUAUUACCGAAAGGAUGCACACAUGUUUUUCUUCUAAAGAAAUCUGCUGUGAUCAUUAAUUCUGAAAGAAAUCUGAAUAAUUGCCAGAGUGAGGAGGAAAAAGCAAGAAAAUUCUGAACAUUUUGGUCAUGGUCUUGGAGGAUGAUUGCUGGUGCAGUGCUCACUCAGUGCUCUAAUUUAGCUUAUUCGAGCUGUAGGUCUAGAUUAAUUUUUAUCUUAAUUGGAUGUCAAACGAUGAAUCAAACAGAGUUGGGGUUCAUCCAGGCUACAUAGGUCUGAUUGUAUUAGUGUCAGUUCCUUGAAGUCAAAGUACUACUAUGAUCGAAGAUAAAUACUUUUGAAGCGAUCGCCAAAGUGAUAGAAGACAAAAUACAAAUUAAAUCUUAAUGCGUACAUGUUUUAUUUGCUCCCAUGUAUUUGUUUGCAUCGUGUAUUUGUUUUACUUCAGAGAUGUGCUCCCUUCGUUGUUGGCUGUCGAAUUUGUGUUGCAGUUCAUACCCACCACGUUCGUGUCUUCACCACUUCGUCCUCCAGCACAAACGCCAGAAUGGAGCAAAAGCUGUGAUUUGCCAUGUCGGUAGACUGAUCCAGCUCGCGGCCAUGGGGUGCUAUGUCCGCGCCGGAGAACUGAUACAGCUCGCUGCCAGGGUGCCAUCCCUCUUCUGGCGUGCCAUAAAGCCCCUCGAUCGAAUCUCUGACUCAGCAAAUCAAAAUUGCCGACCCAGCCAAUCUCGUCGGAACAUCAUCUAGCUUGCCGUGCUCCACUCACUGUAAGUUUGUGUCAGUUUACAUGGCACUUAUCUCUUCUGGCUCACAGACACCUUCAAUGGACCUUUGCCACUGCUAACAGUCUGUAUUGUACACUCCGGGACCAAGGCGAUCGACAUUUUCUUGGCUGGUCGAUGGUGAUUGCUCCCAUGUCUGUUUUUUUGUUCUUUACAGAAUUUGGUUCUAUAAUAUCAUCAUUUAGUGAAUUUUACCUACCUACACAAACAUGAUAUGACAUGCUAUUGCCUGUUCUCUAAGGUAAUGUAUAAAUUUGUUGCUUAGUUAGGAAGAGGUUGAAUCGUGUUGGAUUUGCAGCGAGAGGAAGCCUGUCAACAUGAUGAACAGGGUAGUUUUUACUGAGGGUAGCUCGGCAAGGAAGAGACGGGAUGUUUGUCAUUGACCUACUUUGAAAACGAAGGCUAAAACCGCAGUGGCAGACAUGCUUACAAAAUCUCGUGAAGAUCGUUCUGCUGAUGAUGGUACUCUAACAGAAUAAGAACAGUGGGAAAGAGAGCAAGCCAGCCUUGUUCGUUAUUGAGAGGGGGAAGUUGAAAUCUUACCAGAUAAAGGGCGUUAAGUGGCUAAUAUCACAGUGGCAAAAUGGGCUUAAUGGGAUACUGGGUGAUCAAAUGGGCCUUGGAAAAACAAUUUAGACAAUUGCAUUUCUUGCUCAUCUUAAAGGGAAUGGUCUGUAUCGUCCAUACAUGGUUAUUGCUCUUCCUUCCACCCUGUCAAACUGGUUGAACGACUCAAUGAGGUUUGCUCCUUCUCUAAAUGGUCUGAUUUAUCAUGGAGAUAAAGUGGCUCGGACAGAGCUAACGAGAAACUACAUGCCCAAAACUGUUGGUCCUGGUUUUCCGAUAAUAAUCACUUCAUAUCUGAUGGCCAUGUUUGAUGCAAAGUUUCUUGCUAAUUAUAAGUGGAAGUCACAUGAUCUGAAUUAUUGCCCUUGUAAGCAAAAACUCAACAUUUUAUUCCUUUCUCUUGAGUGCAUUCCUCACUAUUUAAUCAUCGAUGUCCAUAUGCUAGCUUCAUGUUUCAGUCAUAAUUCCUUUCUCUUCGAGGGAAUUUAUGGCCAGGUGCGCUCAUAUACUUCUAUCUUCUAAACAUGCUUUCAUAUGAAUGAGCUGAAGUCAUUUCCUAGAAACUAUGGUGCUUUUACUUUUUAUUUAGGUUGCUUGACCAAGGUUGUUCAGUGAUUGUGUGCACUCCACAUGCAUCGCCAUUUAUCGAGUAAGAAAAAAUGAUAUUUUUCUGAUUAUUUUCACAAGUUAUCAAAAUGCAUUAUUUUACUGACCAUCACAAGUUAACGAAAUGCAUUAUUUUACCGUUUAAAUGAUGCUAAUUGCCUAGGGUCGAUAGUGUAGAAUAAUAGAAUAAUUUUCUACUUAUUUAUCUUGUUACGGUAGUUUUUGUAUAUAAGAAACUACAAAGAUAUAACCAAACCAACUUUCUUUAUCAAAAUUCAUCUAAUAGAGGACCCUAUUGUGUGACAACAUUGAGACACAACAUGGAGCAUUGCAACUGUCACAAUGACAUUGGAGGCAAGGGAAUAUUUUAACUCGGUGUUAAAAAUAUGAAAGGGAAAAAAGAGACGACAUCACAUAUUAUGACCAUGGUAUGUGUAUUGUAGAUUUUUAGAAAUGCAUGGCCAAUAUGUUGUUAUGUCUUGACUUGUCCUUAUGAUUGAGUGCUUGUCAGGAAAUUGCUACGGGACAUAGCUCGGCAAGAAAUGAAUUUUAUUAUGUUGUUGUCAUCAGAUGGUACCUCGGUGAGUAAGUUGAUGAUAGCCUUCUAAUCAUGGGUGUCAAGUCCAAUCAAAUCUGGUUCAGGGCCAUCUUAUUGUGCUCAGAUAUGGAAAGAAUCCGCAGCCGCUCCGUUGCCACUAUUGUUGUCGGCACUUGAUGCAGAGGGGUGAAUGAAAGGAUUAUGUGAAUAAGGAAGAGUGCACGGCAAAGGAGUGGUCCAUACCUUUUUUUUAUCACAAUGAGGGAGUUAACCCACACUAGAUCCAUGAUCUGCUGAAUGGCGGUUGUCUGGUUUGAGCUGAUAGACAGUUGCCAUGGAGAGCGAGGCGGUGUGGGGCACCUCGUGGAUGACCUUGUCUAUGCUUCAUAACCAAAACAUAAUCUUCUUUUGGUUAUUUCAUUUUCUCUGGGAUUUGCCCCCUUAUGCUUCUCUUAUUGCCUCAAUAAAGUUUGGUGUUAUGGCAACUCGCGGGCACAUACCUUGACAAGAGUUUUUUUUAUUUUAAAAGAGGCAAAAGGAUCGCAUGAUAUAUAUCAUUUCAUAUAACUUGGCAGCAAAAACACACUGUGGUUGUCGCCCUCAGCUACAGCGAUGUGCAUUCCUUGGCACCGGGAAUUGGGCUGGGACGUCGUGGAGAGGAGGAGGGGGCGGGCGACACAGUGGAGGGAAGGAGAGAUGGCGGUGAGAGGAAGGUGUGGGAUGAAUGACAUGGCGUCGAGGGAAGGCGGCAGCAAAAAGCCAUGGUGGGGAGAGAUGGCGGCGUCGACGCCGUGACGUGGAGAGCAGUCCGGGGGAAUGAGAUGUGCAUGUGUCGUGCGGUGAGAGUGAGAGAGUGAACUGUUUUGUUUAUUAUAAGAUGAGAAGAAAAUAUGUUGUCGUUUGUGUUUUUAGGGGAAAAUAUUUGUUUGCUGUGAGAGAAAUAUCACUUGCUCAAAGCGAGCAGCUGACAAAUGAAUAUAUAUUGUAUAUGGGCUUAUCUGAUUUUUUUAAAUAUGUGUUUAUAUAUUCCCUUUUGUAGAUUGGAGAUAAGAACUAUGACUUCAGAUGAUGCUUUGAAAGUGUCAACUCACAAAGCUUUAUGAUGAGCGGCCUGAAAACUCAUUGAAGUCUUACACAAUUGGAAGAGAUUUGUACAAAUAAUGGUUCUUCUGUAAUACUUGUUGGAUAUGAUAAUAUAUAAGAUGAAUUUUCAUA